CACAAUGGGCGCAAGCCUGAUCUAGCCAUGCCGCGUGUGUGAUGAAGGCCUUAGGGUCGUAAAGCACUUUCGCCAGAGAUGAUAAUGACAGUAUCUGGUAAAGAAACCCCGGCUAACUCCGUGCCAGCAGCCGCGGUAAU
rnacentral:rRNA from 1 species